CCUCUCUAAAUUAAUCCAGAUAAAAAAAAAAAAACCCCUUAUUUUAGCCCGUUCUGUAAAGAUGACAUAUAGAAUUAUUUUGUGCUCAUUCCAAGGCCUUUCUUCUCAUAUUAUAUAUACUAGACUGUUGGCCCCUGCGAACCAAUGGAUUCUUUUUGGUAAAUAAAAGGCUCAGACCACAUCCUUAUUCUACAACGAUAAAACAGGGGGUAGUGAAAUUUAUAGAAUUUCAGCUUCUCUGCAGUUUGCAUCUUGGCCAUGUGACUCUCUGCAAAUCUGCACCAAGCCAAUCUCUUAAGUGUUCUUCAAUAAUUUGAAGAUGGUACGAAUCAGUGCUGAGCCACUUUCAUUAGCAUUAACACCAUUAAGGAUGUUAACAACUUCCUCAUUAUCACAUUCCUAUACCCCAGGUUCCAAGCAAGCUGUUGGCCAUCCCCAUAGCUCCGGGGGUCUUACCCACCAGACCCCAAGUUCCUCUUGUAAUC
rnacentral:lncRNA from 1 species